GACGAACGCUGGCGGCGUGCUUAAUACAUGCAAGUCAACUGAACUUAAGGUAGCAAUAUUUUAAGGGAGGUGGGCGCACGGGUGAGUAACACGUAGGUAAUCUGCCUUUAGGUCUGACACAACCUACCGAAAGGUAGGCUAAUAUCAGAUGAUGCAGCGGCUCGACAUCGAGACAGUUGUUAAACCCUUCGGGGCCUAAAGAUGAGCCUGCGUCUGAUUAGGUAGUUGGCGGAGUAAUAGCCACCAAGCCUGCGAUCAGUAGCUGGUCUGAGAGGAUGAUCAGCCACACUGGAACUGAGACACGGUCCAGACUCCUACGGGAGGCAGCAGUAAGGAAUAUUGCUCAAUGGCCGAAAGGCUGAAGCAGCAACGCCGCGUGGA
rnacentral:rRNA from 1 species